AGCAUUGUCUAUGGUAUCAAUCAAAGAGUACUCUUUGUAUGGUAUUAUUUUAAUUAUUAACUGAUUUGCUUUCUCUAAUUAUAAUUUAGUGUUUCAUUCAUGUGCUGACUUAUGGAUAAAUAAUUGAUUGAGCAUCAAAACAGUUUUUAUUUUCUGGUUCCCUUUGAUUUCUGUGUUCACGUCUCUUCUCUGGUAGAGCAUCUUAUAAACUAUUCAAUGGCUUUCUAAACAUGAACGAAGAAAAUGGCUUGAAAAGCUGAUUUAAAGAUUAAUAGGAGGAAAAAUAAAAGGCAAAAUAAUGUUAAACACUUGAAUGGACCAAGAAAGGUGUUAAUAUCGGUUAAAGUCAUAUCAACUACUGUUGAGGAGGAAUAAUGAUGUUUAGAGAUGAAUCUGAUAAUCUGGAUAUCUAUUUCAAGUUAAUCUUACCUAAAAUCGUUUAGGAUCAUACUUUGCUAACAAGUUUAAAUGGAAACUCAAAAAAUACGAUGAAAAUGAUGGCGAUGCGAUGAUCGGUCAAUGGUGGUAAUAUUUCAUUGCUAUAAACUGAAAAUGUUGAAAGUAAAAUGGAAAGCCAUGGCAGGAAAAAAGAUCUUCUUUUUGACUGAAUACAAAUCUGACCACGAAAUAUGAAUAUGACUUGAUCCAUUAUUGUUAUUAUUAUCAUUACCAUUAUUAUUCUGGAUGUAACUGAAUAUUCUUAUCACGAAUACAUGGGAGACGAAUAAGGAAACGAAUACGAAUGGAGGAGGAGGAAGAAGAAGACGAAGAUAAAGAAAAUGAAUUAUUUUUAUUUUAUGUCUUUUCUUGUCCAAUAUGCAUAUUAAGGUUUAAUGACAUAAUAUUUGUUGCUAUCUAUUGGACUAUUUGUGUAGAGUCAGAGGAGAAGAAAAAAUUACAAUCAAAGUCAAAUCCAAACCUAAAAUAGCUUAUAAAUUGUUACCUGUUGGCGUUUAACCAUAAAUAAUGCUGGAUUGACCAUUUCCUACGCUCUGAUUGUAAUCGAUUUAUUUGUUAAAUUGGGAGAGGAAAAAAUGAAGGAAAUAAUCAAUUUCCGAUGAAUGAACAAUUACUGCAUAUAAAUGGUUAAAAAAAGGAAAGGUUAAUGAAUGGAUCAAAGCAACAAUCAAAUACAUUAUGUGAUUCCAAAUCAUUUUUAAAUCUUGUAAAAGCUAAAAUAGAUUGCCCUUUCCGCAACUAUUUCAAUUACUUUGAUUUAUCAAUUUUUAACCAAAAAGCUUGAUAAAUUUUUGAUUGAAUUUUCAAUGAAAAACAUGUUUGCUAUUAAUUCUGAACCUUUACCAUGAAUAUUUAAGAUGAACCAUUCCGAUAAACUAUUAAUGUUUGGUAAUAAUACAAUUCCAAUGAAAGUUGAAAAUAAAUUAAACAUUUGCAUUUUAA